AUCAGGUAACUAGAGCACCUUCCUCCGUCGAGAAUCGUUAACAAAUCACAGAACGGCAAGACGUUUCAGCGACCUGUUUUCCAGUCAGGUUUUAGCAGCGCACACCAGACAGGAUAGGUACAGGUUUCGUUGACGGUUAACAAGUUACAAGCAGUGGCGCCUUCAAUGCCAACAUUGACUGAGAAACCCAGAUAAAGGACAAAGAUUUAUCCCAGACGAAUAUACAGUACGAAAUAAUCGAGAAAACACAUUUACCAACAGUUGCGACGACAUUUAAAUCUGAUGUAUGUUAUGCCAACUCUUAAGAUCCGACGAUGUGUUGUAUAUCGACUGUUAAUUUAAAUAUUAUCCUAGUCAGUUGUCUCGACAAUAGUGUGAAGAAGAGGGCGGCUUUUCAAAGAUGUCUUUCGAGAACCAAACCUUAUAUAUA